rnacentral:rRNA from 1 species
UGCAGUCGAACGGGGUCGGAACUUCGGUUUCGGCUUACGUGGCGCACGGGUGAGUAACACGUGGGAAUCUGCCCAUCUAUGGGGAAUAACUGCGGGAAACUGCAGCUAAUACCGCAUACGCCCUUCGGGGGAAAGGCUUCGGCCGUAGAUGGAUGAGCCCGCGUCCGAUUAGCUAGUUGGUGGGGUAAUGGCCUACCAAGGCGACGAUCGGUAGCUGGUCUGAGAGGAUGAUCAGCCACACUGGGACUGAGACACGGCCCAGACUCCUACGGGAGGCAGCAGUGGGGAAUAUUGGACAAUGGGCGAAAGCCUGAUCCAGCAAUGCCGCGUGAGUGAUGAAGGUCUUCGGAUUGUAAAGCUCUUUCGACGGGGAAGAUAAUGACGGUACCCGUAGAAGAAGCCCCGGCUAACUUCGUGCCAGCAGCCGCGGUAAUACGAAGGGGGCUAGCGUUGUUCGGAUUUACUGGGCGUAAAGCGUGCGUAGGCGGCUUAUCAAGUCAGAAGUGAAAGCCCGGGGCUCAACUCCGGAAUGGCUUUUGAGACUGGUAGGCUGGAGUUCGGGAGAGGGUAGUGGAAUUCCCAGUGUAGAGGUGAAAUUCGUAGAUAUUGGGAAGAACACCGGUGGCG